GUCGAGUCUCUGAUCUUGGAAUUCAAGAGAAAUCCAAGGAUUUCUCUUUGCCGGAGAUCAUAGCUACUGAAUCUGCUCAUCUCUCCAGGAAAAUGGGAGUGAAGGACUGUACCGAGGCUGAGAUGGAUAGAGAGAGUGGAGGUUCAUCGGAGGAUAACGAGGAGUCGCCGAAAUCUGUCGGCAAGUGGGGAAGGAAUAUAAGCAACAUAGGUUUUGUGCAUAGCCAGGUGUUGAGGAUUAGAAAGGAGGAUUCACAUAUCGGUGAAGAUAUUGGUGAGGGAUUGAGCACCAAAGAUAAGGUUAUCAAUGCAGGUUUUGGUCAGAAUACGCAGCUUCGACGCGUGGCUUCGGCGGUGGAUGUUGUUUUCUUUUCGAGGCCGAUCUUGCCUUGCUCACCUCUUAGUGGGAAAACCAUCAACAAAGCCGUGCCGUGAUAAGCUACUCCAAUCAAUUAAAGGUUCGUCUUCUUUCCUUGUUUUUCAUGCUCGUUUAAUUUUUUUGUUUUUCCCUUACUGUAGAUUUCUUGAAAAUCAACUGGCGAUCGUAUCAUAAUUUUCAUCUCUUUAUAAUAAUUAUCUUUCAUCUUUUCCUUUAGUUUUAAUUUUCCGUUUGGAUGCUAAGAAAACUAUGGGAAAUUCAAGGAAAGUUCAAAAAAGAACUCCUAAGUAAAAGCUCUUGAUUUUUUUUUUUUUUAAUUUCCUUUAAAGGAACUGUUGUCGUAGCACUCCAUCGAAGGCAUGUAAAAUUUUAAGUUUUACAUUUCUUGUUCUUUAUCAUUUCCAUCACUUUCUUGGCCGAUCUUCCGCGAAAACGUUUAUCACGUGGUUGGUGACUUCACGCUAAAGAAAGAUUCCGUUUGCAGAUAAACCCUACCGUUUUACCGCGUGGUGAAUAGAUGAGGAGCAGCACGGCAGGUGGAAACUUGUGAGAGGAAGCCGUGAAAUGGGAUGUUUGGUUACAGUGGUGUUAUAGUUAUGGUUGUGGUUAAGGU
rnacentral:misc_RNA from 1 species